UACGUAGGGUGCGAGCGUUGUCCGGAUUUAUUGGGCGUAAAGGGUGUGUAGGCGGUUCUUUAAGUUUGGUGUGAAAUCUCCCGCUCAACCGGGAGGGUGCGCCGAAUACUGAGGGACUAGAGUGCGGGAGAGGAAAGUGGAAUUCCUGGUGUAGCGGUGAAAUGCGUAGAUAUCAGGAGGAACACCGGUGGUGUAGACGGCUUUCUGGACCGUAACUGACGCUGAGACACGAAAGCGUGGGUAGCAAACAGG
rnacentral:rRNA from 1 species